rnacentral:misc_RNA from 1 species
AAGAAAUUUAAUAAUUUUGAAAAUGGAUUUUUUUUUUUUGUUUUGGCAAGAGCAUGAGAGCUUUUACUGGGCAAGAAGACAAGAGAUGGAGAGUCCAGCCGGGCCUGCGCUUAAGUGCGCGGUCUUGCUAGGCUUGUAAGUUUCUUUCUUGCUAUUCCAAACGGUGAGAGAUUUCUGUGCUUUUGUUAUAGGACAAUUAAAACCGUUUCAAUACAACACACUGUGGAGUUUUCAUAUCUUUGCAACUUUUUCUUUGGGCAUUCGAGCAAUCGGGGCCCAGAGGUUAACAAACACAAACAAUUUUAUCUAUUCAUUAAAUUUUUGUCAAAAACAAGAAUUUUCGUAACUGGAAAUUUUAAAAUAUUAAAAACUUUCAACAACGGAUCUCUUGGUUCUCGCAUCGAUGAAGAACGCAGCGAAAUGCGAUACGUAAUGUGAAUUGCAGAAUUCCGUGAAUCAUCGAAUCUUUGAACGCACAUUGCGCCCCUUGGUAUUCCAGGGGGCAUGCCUGUUUGAGCGUCAUUUCCUUCUCAAACAUUCUGUUUGGUAGUGAGUGAUACUCUUUGGAGUUAACUUGAAAUUGCUGGCCUUUUCAUUGGAUGUUUUUUUUUCCAAAGAGAGGUUUCUCUGCGUGCUUGAGGUAUAAUGCAAGUACGGUCGUUUUAGGUUUUACCAACUGCGGCUAAUCUUUUUUUUAUACUGAGCGUAUUGGAACGUUAUCGAUAAGAAGAGAGCGUCUAGGCGAACAAUGUUCUUAAAGU